rnacentral:rRNA from 1 species
UACGUAGGUGGCAAGCGUUGUCCGGAAUUAUUGGGCGUAAAGAGCUCGUAGGCGGUUUGUCGCGUCUGCUGUGAAAACUCGGGGCUUAACCCCGGGCCUGCAGUGGGUACGGGCAGACUAGAGUGUGGUAGGGGAGACUGGAAUUCCUGGUGUAGCGGUGAAAUGCGCAGAUAUCAGGAGGAACACCGAUGGCGAAGGCAGGUCUCUGGGCCACUACUGACGCUGAGAAGCGAAAGCAUGGGGAGCGAACAGG